GAUGAGGCAUGUGAUUGAGCAUGCAAGUCGAACGGAAUGUAGCAAUACAUUCAGUGGCGGAAGGGUUAGUAAUACAUGGGUAACAUACCUUUAACACUGGGAUAACGAUUGGAAACGAUCGCUAAUACUGGAUGAGGAGGGGGGAAGAAAUCUUCCCUUAUUCAAAAGUGGGGGAUCGCAAGACCUCACGGUUAAAGAGGGGCCCAUGGGAUAUCAGUUAGUUGGUAGGGUAAAGGCUCUACCAAGGCUAAGACGUCUAGGCGGAUU
rnacentral:rRNA from 1 species